CCAAACCAGCAGUGCAGAACCAAUGGAAAUGAUCAGUUGCAAAGUCAAAUUCUAACAUGAAAAUACAAAUAUAUAAAUCAAUUAGAAUCUGAAUAUCAUUAUUAAUCAAUCACCAAAAUGGAGUAAAGGACACUUGGCCUUCAUUUAGUAGCCUGGUAGAGUUCACAACUUAGCAAGACCACUUAACACUACCAUGAUCAGAAUUUAUAUGUUUCUAAUGUUUCUCGAACACUUCUUUCCUCAUUGACAAAGCUGUGAUUAUGGUACAGAGGAUCAACAACAACCCACAUGAAAGUGGCUUGAGAAUCGGUUCGACUGCCUGAGAGAGUGGCUUGCCAUUCGGUUCACGAAUACAGCACACUCAAAUAUGGUUGACGAUCCUCUCUCUCUCACCAGUAUCACCACUUGAAUCCAGUGCUGUAAUGCUCGUUGGUUCGACGGGUCGGGUCGAGCUAGGGUCCAGACCCGGAACCGACCCCCACUCGCGUAAGGGCCCGACGCGAGGCCCUUCUCCCUCGCCUUUCCCUUCCUUCUUCGUUGUCUCCGGUGGUCUCCUGUGGCAGCGCAGAGGGAGGAGAGUGACGGUCGGGUGGUGGUGGCUGGAACGGCGACGGCGACGGCGACGGAGGUGGCAGCGGCGACGGCGGCGGCGGCUGCUGGGUAAACCCUCUCUCUCUCGUGCGAUUUUUCUUGCUCUGCCACUCAUGCCUUUUUUUUCUGUUUUGCUCUCUGCCGCACGUCCCCUCUUCUUCUCUCUCGCCAUUUUCUUUCCCCUCUUUCCGCUGGUUCUCUACCGCUCGACCCUCUUCUCACUCACCCGCACUCCCCCGCCUGCUCUUUCUCUCUCUUCUCACCCCACGGCUGUUUUCCCCCUUGACCGAACCCUUCCUCUCUCUGUCUCUCCUCUCUGUCAGCGUCCCUUUUCUUUGUUUAUUUCAGUUUUUUUUUCCCCAACUACUACCGUGGGUCUUUCCUAGCAACAGAGUUUGUGUUAAACUUUUUGGGCGUUUGGGGUUGGUUUGCAGUUUAGGGGACGUUUUUCCCCUCUUACCUGCUAGUAGGGUGUGUAGUGAGCAGCGACAGCAAGCAAUCUCGAGCAUUGGCACUUGAUCGGACGUGUGAAGUGGUUGCUAGAAGGGUUGUAGCAGUUUGGACGCUUGUUUGGGGUGCACCGGGCUCAUCCCGUCGACCUUGAGUUCGAAGCUUGAGGCAUUUUGAAGAAUUUGGUGAGCGCGCCACAGGUUUUGGUGUACCCGGGGCAGCAGGCUGAGCAGAUGGCUACACUCACAUCCUACUGGGGAGGUUUUGGGUUUUGUUUUGUUCUUGUAGUGCCGGCGCGUCGUGUUUUUGGUUUUACUGAUGCCUUGUUUUGAUGAGGCAUCGAUGUUGUGAUUUUGGGGCAUUUUUGUCAAAUGUACAAUUGAAUUGAAAUGCUAUAUAAUGGAAAGCUUGCCCCAUUGUUUUGAAUUGCUUGGCUCAUUCCUUUUUGAACUAUUGUGUAGUCACACCUCGAUGUUGGAUGUUAGAAAAAAAAAAUGUUUGAGUGUCAAAAAGGUCGGGGUGUGACAAGUGCAGUUCAACACAACUCCAAAUCAGCUACCUUGAAGUGUCAGGAGAGGAAGCGGGUUGAGCAUAUCGAACAACACAGCGGUAGAUUAUUCAUCUUGAUCAAUUACACCAAAAUGCAUAGACAACAACAUGAUACGACACAUAAUGCACUGGAAAUUCAUAACUACCAGUAUGCCGAAUAAUAAAAAAGAGCCCUAAAAGCAAUGUUGUAAAAAGUGUAUCAUAAGUUGUAUCGGUCCGGCCAAUAGAUAUGUUGUAUCGUAAUUGUAUGUGUAUCAUAAAUUUAUUUUUUUAAUUCAAAAAAAUAAAAGAUAAAAAAUAAAAAAUAGAGAAAGAAAAGAUAAAUAAAGAAAAAAAAUAUGUUUUUUAAUGAAAAAACAUGUUAUAUGUAAUGGCAGGCUUAUUAUAGGUAUGAAGUUACUUCACAAACAUUAAUGGGUGGUCAUAAUAUCAUAUAGUAACACAGCAUGAUCUAAGACAUCAAGGAACAUAAUUUAUAAGAUGAUCUACAUAAUAACUCACAAGUAAGUCAUAAUGAUAGUGAUCGGGCCUUGGGUUGCGGGUUGGGUCCACUAGACUAACCCAGGAACAGCUAUAAAUAAGGAUUAGGCAGCUGUAAUUAAGGCUAUUGCUGAAGUUGAAGUGUCUUUCCUCUGGGAGGAAGAAGCCUAAUCAGGGAUUAGGGCCUGCGUGAGUGAGUUCAGGGGUCUUAUAAAUGUGCCUUGGCUGGUGGCUAACACAUAAGAUCCAACACAUAUCAAAACCCAAGUUUUACGUACACUAUACGUCCACAUCACAGGACAAAAUUGUUCAAUGUUAAUGCAAAUAACAAAUGAAAACAGCUUCAUUCAUAAUCUUUAUCAUCUCAUUCUCAUUUUCAUAUUUCGUAGAAGAUAUAAACCCUCUUUAUCUAAACAAGAAUCAAUCAUCCAUGCAUAAAUCUGCCCUCAAAUCAAACAAUGUCCCCCUCCUUCAACUAUUAGAUAUGUUCAGAAAUGAAGAGGGAGGCAAAUUUUAAAAAAUAGUUUGAAAAAGGGUGGUCUUAACUCUUAACUCCAUAUCUUUCAAAAUAGACAUGUAUCGUGCAAUACGGGGUGUAUCAUGUAUCGUACGAUACAGGUUGUGUAUCGCACGAUACAAGUGAUACACAUUAGAGACACCACUUGUUUGCGAUCCAAGUGGUGUAUCGUAUCGUAAAUUUAAAAAGCAACGGCACGCAUCAUACGAUAUGGCCCCGUAUUGUAUGAUAGAUAUAACACUGCCUAAAAGAACAAACAUACUGAAAAAAUAGUAAAAGCCAUAAAAGGCAACAAAACUGUGAGGAAAAAUAUACAAAAGUCACACGCAUAGGCAGAGGGAAA